GGAAGACUAAAAUUGAUCCACGUCUUUACACAAAUCGAAGAUACACAUACACAUUCAUCUACUUUUAAACAUUUCCUCAUAAAUUUUGAACCUGUGUUGCUUAAAGAUUUCUUGUUAGCUUCUGUUGUAGCCUCAACUUUGUCUAGUUGAUAAUUUUUAUUGACAAGUGUGUUUAGUCAUUCAAAUUUCUUCAGUUGGAGAUUGAUACUAGCACGAUGAACAAAUAAAAAUAUAACAUGCCUUAAUCUUAUCAGAGAAGGUCGUUCAAGGUCUAACAAUACCACCUUUUGAGAACAGUAAAGUGUGACUCGAUCCUUUUGUUCAUCAAACUGCAUAAUAUGAAUCAAUAAGAGUAAUGCCACCCAAAACUAGUGGGGACUUUUGACACACACACCAAAUAUUCAUAUAUGGACAAUCAACAGUGACUGCUUCAUCUCGUUUACAGCCAUUAAAACUUUUUAAAAAUAAAUAUAAUAAAAAAUUGUCUGACCAUAAUCUUAAUUCAGAGCAACCAAAAUCAUCUUCUGCAUGAACUACGAUUUAG
rnacentral:misc_RNA from 1 species